CGCGUAGACGGUUUUGUAAGUCAGAUGCGAAAUCCCUGGGCUCAACCUGGGAACUGCAUUUGAAACUGCAUGGCUAGAGUAUGGUAGAGGGAAGUGGAAUUUCCGGUGUAGCGGUGAAAUGCGUAGAUAUCGGAAGGAACACCAGUGGCGAAAGCGACUUCCUGGACCAAUACUGACGUUCAUGUGCGAAAGCGUGGGGAGCAAACAGGAUUAGAUACCCUGGUAGUCCACGCCAUAAACGAUGACAACUAGAUGUUGGGAGGGUCUGCCUCUCGGUGUCGCAGCUAACGCGUUAAGUUGUCCGCCUGGGGAGUACGGCCGCAAGGUUGAA
rnacentral:rRNA from 1 species